UAGCGACGACGAAGUGCAAGAACGCCAAGUCAGAGCGAGUGGUGAACUGGUGAAGCUGAGCGGCGUCGCCGCCGCCGGGCGGUGAAGUGAUGGCGUUGGCGUGAUCGAUGGAGGGCAAGACGGCCAAGAUCCUCGCCGGCGUGGCGGCCGUCGUGCUGGCGGCCCUCGAGCUCUCCCUGUUCCUCUGCUUCCGCCUGUCUCGGCCCUUCUACCUCUCGACGGCGGUCAUCCUGUCGGCCGUGCUGGCGGGCACCGUAGCGGCGCUGCUGUGCCACCAGGGGCGGGCCGAGCGCAUGGCGCGGCGGCCGGCGAUGGACGGCGGCGGCGCGGAGGUGUCGGUGCGCGUGGAGUACAGCUUCUUCCGCAAGGUCGCCGGGCUGCCCAGCCGGUUCUCGCUGGAGGCGCUGGCGGCGGCGACGGACGACUUCCAGUGCGUGAUCGGGCGGGGCUCGUCGGGGACGGUGUUCAAGGGUAUCCUCGACGACGGCACGGCCGUGGCGGUGAAGCGGAUCGACGGGUCGCCGCACGUGGACAAGGAGUUCCGGUCGGAGGUGUCGGCGAUCGGCAGCGUGCAGCACGUGAGCCUCGUCCGCCUCCUCGGCUUCUGCCUCGUCCGGAACGGCCCGCGCUUCCUCGUCUACGAGUUCAUGGAGAACGGGUCCCUCGACAAGUGGAUCUUCCCGCAGCACGGUGGCGGCGGCGGCGGGCGGUGCCUGACGUGGCUGCAGCGGUACCAGGUCGCCGUCGACGUGGCGAAGGCGCUGGCGUACCUGCACCACGACUGCCGCGCCAAGGUGGUGCACCUGGACGUGAAGCCGGAGAACAUCCUCCUCGACGACCGCCUCCGGGGGAUGCUCUCCGACUUCGGGCUGUCGGCGCUGAUGGGGAAGGAGCAGAGCCGGGUGGUGACGACGGUGCGCGGCACGACGGGGUACCUGGCGCCGGAGUGGCUGCUGGGCGCCGGCGUGACGGAGAAGUCCGACGUGUACAGCUACGGGAUGGUGCUGAUGGAGAUGCUCGGCGGGCGGCGGAACCUGCAGGCGGAGCCCGGCCCGGGGGGGUCCCGGCGGUGGUCCUACUUCCCGAAGCUCGUCGCCGACAAGGUCCGGGAGGGGCGCGUGAUGGAGGUGCUGGACCGGCAGCUCGUACCGUCGUCGGUGGACGAGGCGGCGGUGCGGCGGCUCGCGCACGUGGCGCUGUGGUGCACGCAGGAGAAGGCCGGCGCGCGGCCGGCGAUGGCGCGCGUCGUGGAGAUGCUGGAGGCCAGGGGAGGAGCUUCCGUGGAGCCGCCGCCGCCGUCGGACAUGAUCAUCGUCAACCUACUCGCCCUCGACCCCGCCGCGCACGCGCACCGCGGCGGCGGCGGUGGCCCGUUCGGGCUGCCCGCGCUGCCGCCGGGAUCGGCCGGGACGGCGUCGUCGGUGGUGAGCAUGAGCGAUUCGUUCGCGCUCUCCUACCUGUCCGGGCGGUAGCGCGCGGCAUCGCGUAGCGAUCAGCCGAUCCGCACGCCAGGAUGCUCCAACAUCUGAGGAGUUCAUGAUGGUUUCGUGAGUGGCGACAGUCUGACAGACUGUACAGGGUCUCAUCAUUGAUGCUCCAAACGAAGGUGCAGAUUCUGUCUUCAGCUCGGUUGCAUCGAUGCCUGCCUCUGAAGAUUGAGAUGCAGUAUUUGAGAAUGAAUUGGCAUGACAGGGAAAAUGCAGGCAGACCAUUGUUGUUAGCCAUGAUUUCUCAAUCGGGAUGUACCUUGAAGCUCCAAAGUCUGAUACCUUGGAUGUGAGAUUAUCGUCAAGAAGUAUGUUGCUGGGCUUGAUAUCUCUAUGAAUUAUUGGGAUUGAAACUGAUGAGUGAAGAUAGGAUAAGUGCACUAGCAAUUUCGGCUGCAAUCCUCAACCUUGUAAAGUUGUUUGUUGCCUUUUCAAGUUCAUCCAAUGUUAUGAUCAUCCUUUCUCCAAUAUCUGCCCUUUGGGAUACCAAUUGUUUCACUAGU